rnacentral:rRNA from 1 species
UGGGGAAUUGUUCGCAAUGGGCGCAAGCCUGACGACGCAACGCCGCGUGGAGGAUGAAGAUCUUCGGGUCGUAAACUCCUGUCGAGUGGGAAGAAUAGUUUCCGGGCGAAUAUCCCGGGAGCCUGACGGUACCACUAAAGGAAGCCCCGGCUAACUACGUGCCAGCAGCCGCGGUAAUACGUAGGGGGCAAGCGUUGUCCGGAUUUAUUGGGCGUAAAGAGCGUGUAGGCGGCCGCACAGGUCCGUUGUGAAAACUGGAGGCUUAACCUUCAGACGUCGAUGGAAACCGUGCGGCUAGAGUCCGGAAGAGGAGAAUGGAAUUCCUGGUGUAGCGGUGAAAUGCGCAGAUAUCAGGAAGAACACCCGUGGCUAAGGCGGUUCUCUAGUACGGUACUGACGCUGAGACGCGAAAGCGUGGGGAGCGAA